rnacentral:lncRNA from 1 species
AGGGAGCCUUUCAUUGAGGUAGGAUCUCUCUUUUGGUUGCUUCCCAUGCUUCUGGCUAGGUAAACAGAUAAAUCAAUGUAAUAUCAGUCAUUGUAGGCUUGUUUAUUAAAGGCUUCACAAGUUUUUUCUAAUAUGAUUAUCAUCUGGAACUUUUCUAGACACUCUUGGAUGGUUGCAUCUUAACACAAGCACACAACAUUCCUAAUUGUUGAUUUAUCACGUUGUCACAUGUCUCGAUGUUUAAGAAGAACUAUGACCAUCUUCGAUGUUUAAGAAGAACUAUGACCAUCUUCCUAAAGAUGUUUACUUUGAAAACUAUAGGGAAGCAACCCGCAAUAAUCUGCAGUUGCAGCAUAAAAACAGUACUGGGUAUAUGGCUGGAAUUACAAUGCUGUUGGAAGAUGGUGGGUUGCUAGGUAUGAGUUAGAGUGUUGAUGGGUAUGUGGUAGUUGGAGUAUUGCCACUGGAAGAGGGUAGUAUUGCUGCUGGAAGUCUUGCUAUUGGAGUAUUUCCAUUAAUCUUUGGGAGUUUUGCUGGGUAACUUGGCUUGGUGGCUGGAAUUUGUAUUGCUUUUCUUGGAGUUUAAUUGGAAUUUAACAAUUGUUUUAUAUUUUUUGAUGGUUCUUUUUAAUUUGAGAUGUUUUAUUAUGUAUUGGUGGUGAUGACAUUGGAUAUAC